UACGUAGGGGGCUAGCGUUGUCCGGAAUCAUUGGGCGUAAAGCGCGUGUAGGCGGUCCGGUAAGUCUGCUGUGAAAGUCCAGGGCUCAACCCUGGGAUGCCGGUGGAUACUGUCGAGCUCGAGUCCGGAAGAGGCGAGUGGAAUUCCUGGUGUAGCGGUGAAAUGCGCAGAUAUCAGGAGGAACACCAAUGGCGAAGGCAGCUCGCUGGGACGUGACUGACGCUGAGACGCGAAAGCGUGGGGAGCGAACGGG
rnacentral:rRNA from 1 species